AUCAGCCGCGGUAAUUCCAGCUCCAAUAGCGUAUAUUAAAGUUGUUGCAGUUAAAAAGCUCGUANUUGAAUUUCGGGGUUUGUCCAUUGGUCGGGCUUUAUUGUCCGUACUGGUGUGAUGAAUUCCUACCUUCUGAAUAACCUUCAUGCCAUUAAUUUGGUGCGUUGGGGAAGCAGAGCUGUUACCUUGAAAAAAUUAGAGUGCUUAAAGCAGGCAAGUGCCUGAAUACAUUAGCAUGGAAUAAUGAAAUAGGACGGCAUGGUUCUAUUUUGUUGGUUUCUAGGAUCACCGUAAUGAUUAAUAGGGAUAGUUGGGGGCAUUAGUAUUCAAUUGUCAGAGGUGAAAUUCUUGGAUUUAUUGAAGACUAACUUCUGCGAAAGCAUUUGCCAAGGAUGUUUUCAUUAAUCAAGAACGAAAGUUAGGGGAUCGAAGACGAUCAGAUACCGUCGUAGUCUUAACCAUAAACUAUGCCGACUAGGGAUCGGACGAUGUUAAUUUUUUAAUGACUCG
rnacentral:rRNA from 1 species